rnacentral:lncRNA from 1 species
UUUGUGGUCUGGUGUGGGGGUUCUAUUUAUAACCCCUUGCCUUUUGAUCUCAGCCGUCCAUUUUGUUUUAAUCUGGGCCGUCCGUUUUUGAUUGAAUCUGGGCCGUCCGUGCGUUUAAAUCUGGGCCGUCCGAUCGCACGUUUGAUCUGGGCUGUCCGAUCGCGCCCACGCGGAUCGCCAACGUGGCCCUUUUUGGAACGACGUGGUUUUGCCACGUGGCAGGUCCCGGUUGGCCGGGACUGCUGACCGGGCCUGCUGACGUGGCUGCCGACGUGGCUUUUUUUUUUCUCCUCCUCGGUCCGGACGCUACAACUCUCCCCCCCAUAAAGAAAUUUGGUCCCCAAAUUUGCCUCAUUACUCUUGAUCAAACAGAUGGGGAUAUUGGGCCCUAAAUUCUGAUUCCAGUUCCCAAGUCGCCUCCCUGGGCGUGUGGUUCUGCCACAUGACUUUUACAAAUGAUAUUUCCCGGUUGCGGAGUAUUCUGCUUUCUCGGUCCGUGAUACUGACCGGUACUUUUUCAUAAGACAAGUCCUCUCGGAGUGGAAGCGGUUCGUGAGCCAAGACAUGAGAAGGGUCCGGAUUGUACUUACGUAGCAUAGAUACAUGAAACACAUUAUGAACCCGGGAGAGCUCAGGAGGCAGUGCAAGUCUGUAGGCAGUGGUACCAAUCUUGUCUAAGAUUUCAAAGGGUCCAAUAUAUCUGGGGUUUAAUUUUCCCCUCCUGCCGAACCUACUAAUUCCCUUGAAGGGGGUGACUUUAAGAAACACCCGGUCGCCUUUCUCAAAGGCCAGGUCUCUUCUCCGGGUAUCGGCAUAACUCUUCUGCCUACUCUGAGCUGUCUGGAUGUUCUUCUUGAUCUUAACUAUCUUGGACGUGGUUUCUUCUACCAAAUCCGGGCCAAACAAUCUUCUAUCGCCCACUUCCUCCCAAUAGAUCGGCGACCUGCACGGACGCCCGUAUAGCGCCUCGUAUGGGGCCAUGCCGAUGCUUGCUUGGUAACUGUUGUUGUAAGCAAACUCUAUCAGGGGUAGGUGGUCGUCCCAAUGGCCCCCGGAGUCAAGGACACAAGCUCGAAGCAUAUCCUCCAGCGUACGAAUUGUCCUCUCUGAUUGUCCAUCGGUUUGGGGGUGGAAAGCAGUACUAAGAGACAGCUUUGUUCCCAUAGCUUGCUGGAAACUAUUCCUAAACCGAGAAGUGAAUCUGGGAUCCCUGUCGGAUACCACUGUUACUGGAACUCCAUGUAGUCUGACUACCUCCCGGAUAUACAUUCUUGCCAACUUGUCCAAGGGAUCAGUCAUUCUGAUGGCCAGGAAGUGGGAAGACUUAGUGAGUCGGUCAACAAUUACCCAUAUAGCAUCAUGUCCCGAUCGUGCCUUGGGUAGUCCCGAUACGAAGUCCAUGGUGAUAUGUUCCCACUUCCACUCUGGAAUCGGUAAAGGCUGAAGUAACCCGCCCGGGCGUUGAUGCUCUGCUUUGACCUGCUAACAUACCAAGCACUUAGAUACAAAGUCGGCUAUAUCUCUCUUUAUCCCAUUCCACCAGAACCGGGGUCGCAUAGUUUGGUACAUUUUCGUACUUCCUGGAUGCAUGACGAACCUUGAACUAUGGGACUCUGUCAUGAUGUCUCUUCUUAACUCACUGUCGUCUGGGACACACACUCUGUCCCUGAAACGAAUCAAUCCGUCGGUGGAGAUCUGAAAUUCUGAGCUCACUCCCUGUUCUGCACUCUUCUUGCGGGUUACUAGGGCGGGGUCGACUGACUGAGCUUCCUUUAUUCUCUGGAUUAAUUCGGGUUGGACUGCUAGGUGGCCCAAACAUGUGACUCUCUUCAGGUCUCGCAGGCGAACUUGCUGUGUAGCCCCAAUGGACCUACAUUCUGAAACCAUCAGAUGGGCUAGGGUGCCUGCACUUUUCCUGCUGAGGGCAUCGGCCACCACGUUGCCCUUACCUGGAUGGUAUAGGAUGUCACAAUCAUAGUCCUUGAGGAGUUCCAUCCACCUCCUCUGACGCAUGUUGAGAUCCUUCUGGUGAAGAUAUGUUUCAAACUUUUAUGAUCGGUGUAGAUCUGAAAGGUCUCUCCAUACAAAUAAUGGCGCCAGGUUUUCAAGGCGUGUAUGAUGGCGGCAAGCUCCAAGUCAUGGGUAUGAUAGUUCUUCUCAUGAUUCUUUAGCUGUCUAGAUCCAUAUGCUAUAACCUUUCCAUGCUGCAUUAGGACACAACCCAGGCCCAGAUAGGAGGCAUCACUAUAAACUGUGUACCCUCCUGAUCCACUCGGUAGAGCCAGCACUGGUGCAGUAGUCAGUCGCUUCUUCAACUCUGAAAAACUCCUCUCGCAGUUCUCAUUCCAUUCAAACCUUGCAUUCUUCUUUGUGAGUCGGGUUAGAGGAGCUGCUAGACUAGAGAACCCUUCGACAAACCGGCGGUAAUAACCUGCCAUCCCUAGGAAACUGCGAAUUUCCUUAACUGUUGUCAGCCUUUCCUAACCAAGUACCGCUUCAACCUUUUCGGGGUUCACCGACACCCCUUCCUUCGAUAUAACAUGUCCUAGGAAGGCGGUUUGUUCGAGCCAAAAUCCACACUUGCUCAACUUCGCAUACAACUUCUUUUCUCUGAGUACCUGUAGGACUUGGGCAAGAUGAUGAGCAUGCUCUUCCCUACUUUUUGAGUAGACUAAGAUAUCAUCGAUGAACACGAUGACAAAUUGGUCCAAGAAUUCUCUGAAGAUUCUGUUCAUUAGAUCCAUAAAGAUGGCCGGGGCGUUGGUUAGCCCAAACGGCAUAACCAGUAACUCAUAGUGUCCGUACCUGGUUCGGAAUGCCGUCUUGGGGAUGUCUUCUGCUCUCACUUUUACCUGAUGGUAACCUGAUCGUAGAUCUAUUUUAGAAAAGACCUGUGCACCCUGCAACUGAUCGAAAAGGUCAUCAAUCCGGGGAAGAGGGUACUUGUUCUUAAUUGUUACCUUUUUUAUCCUUCUAUAAUCAAUGCACAGUCUCAACGUUCUAUCCCCUUUCUUUGCAAAAGUAACCCCGGCACCCCAUGGGGAAAUGCUGUGUCUAAUGAAGCCCCUGUUUUUGUAGCUCAGUGAUUUGUUUCCUCAGCUCUUCCAUCUUGAUGCGGCUCAUUCGGUAAGGAGCUACCGAGAUGGGCUGGGUUCCUGGCUGUAAGUCUAUGGUGAACUCGAUCUCUCUGUCCCCUGGUAGACCGGGCAGUUCAUCCGGAAAUAGGUCUGGAAAGUCUCGAACUACUGGAAUCUCUUGGAUACAAACUUCUUUCUUGGGUUUACCUAGUUAGAGAAAAUACAAUAUUAAGGCAUUGGGAAUUAAGAAGAAAAGAAUUUGCCAUUAGGGGAAAUCAGUAACGAAUAAUUUUAUUAACUUGUAAAUGGCUCCUCGUUGGGAGGAUUAAAUACAAUCUUUUUGUUAAAGCAGUCUAUGGUGACGUGAUACGCCGCUAGCCAAUCCAUUCUUAGGAUUACAUCAAAAUCCCCUGUGUCUAACCCUAUCAGGUCUACCCUCAAUUUCCUAUCUGCUAUCUCCACGGCACAUGCCCUGUAGACAACCUCUCCUAGCAAUGUCUCCCCCCCAGCGGUAGAUACAAGCAAUAAUGAAUCAAGUCUAUAAGGUGAUACACAAAUUUUGGAAGCAAGAACAUGUGAAAUAAAAGAAUGUGAUGCACUAGUAUCAAACAAAAUAUGAGCAAUGUGGCCAGAGAUAGUAUACAUACCGUGUACCACAUCCGGGUCUGCGUCGGUAUCCUUCUGGGUAAGGUUGUAAACUCUGCCCUGGAUUGGAAGCCUCCCUUGAUUUUGGUUCCUAGGGCACUCCCUCGCAUAGUGCUGGGCACUGCCGCAUAUGCGACAGGUGUUGUUGAGGCGGUAGCAGGGUCGGUCCCCAUGAUCCCUGCCGCAGUACUGGCAGAUCUUCCCACGUGCUGCCCCCAUAGCCUGAGGAGGGGCCUGGACGGCAGGUCUGGGCCUCUUACUGGGUUGGACAUGCAUGGUAGGCGCUGGCCUGUGGAGCGGGGCUGAGGGUCGGGAACUUCCCGCUAGCUGAGGGCGGGUGUCGAAGCUCCUUUCAAUGAUCUGCGCCUUUGCCAGGACUGUCGAAUAUGUCUCGAGCUCCAUCACCAAUAAGUGUUGUCUGAUCGCCGGGCGGAGGCCCCACUGGAAUUUCCUAGCCUUUCGGCCCUCAUCCAACAAUGUCUCUGGGGCAUGUCGCCCCAGCUCCAGGAACUUGCGGGCAUACUCCGACACUGUCAUAUUACCCUGGACCAAUUGAGCAAAUUCCAUUUCCUUUAAAUGUUGGAUGUGUUUAGGGAGAUACUCCGCAUGGAAGGCCGCUAGGAACUGCUCCCAAGUAACUGGUACAGGCAGGGUGGCCCGUUUGAGCUCCCACCAGCGUACUGCUUCCCCUACCAGCAUGUAGGAGGCAAUGGCAGCCCUCUGCUCAGGAACUACUCCCAAGGUCUCAAAAGCUCUCUCAGUCUCUGCCAACCAGUAUUGGGCCUCUUCGAACAAGGAUCCCCCUGAAAAGGUAGAAGGGUUCAGUCUCCUGUACCUCUCUAUGAAGCCGGGGUCGAUCAAGGAGGGAGCGGGGUCCCGAGGUAGAGGGACUGGGGCCGGCUGAGGGUGGACUGGGGGACCCUGUGGUGGCGCCUGCUGAUGGGGUGGGGGCACUGGAAUGUGCUGUGCGGCACCUGUUGGUACUGUGGCUGUGGUACCGGAUCGUACCGCGGCUGUGGUACCGGGUGGUAUCGUGGAGGGACAGGCUCCUGCCGGGGUGGCUCGGGAUCAGCCUGCUGUAGCGGGGGCUCGACCUGCGCUAGCGGAGGAGGUCCCGGUAACUCCCUUCUCUCCUCUUGCCUUCGCUGGGCAGCUGCGAGAGCCUCCACCAUCUCGAAUAGUCUAUCUAAAUCCUCCCGAAUUGAAUUAUCUGGGGCCGCUCGGUUUAGUGGGGGCCUUCCUCUCCUCAUUCCUGUGUACCUGCAUUCACAAGGAAUGAUUGAGUAACAAUAUAUCGGUGAGUAUUUCUCUAAGGCACAUUAGUGUAAGGGAUGGGUCCGAAGAAAUGCGGCUCUGAUACCAACUUUAGCAGCCCCGGAAAUUUAAAAUAGAAUUUUAUAUUCAAAAAUAUCAAAUGCGGAAGCGAGGUCAAAAUUUGAAUAACAUCCCUUACACUGAAACCGAAACGUGCUCACAAAAUAUAAAAGAUUAAACUACCUAAAGGAGAAACUUAAAAGUAAAAACUACGAAUGUGACUAUGGAGUCUUUAGGCGUCCCCUUCGUCGUCCUCCUGCGGAAUCGGCUCGGGAACGAUGUCCUCUUGAUCUGAAAUGAUUAAAUAAGGAAUGAGCUACACUAGCCCAGUAAAGACAUCACGAUAUCUCACCGUCACGGAGGUAAAAGUGGGUAGAAAACACAAAACAACCAAUGGAGCAUAAUUUACAACAAAUUCUUUUAUCGAUAAAUAAAACCUUUACCAUUUACUUACCUCGGUGAAAUUCAUAAAACAAUAUACGAAAGUAAUAACAUCAUCAUCAUCAUGGAAACAUAUAUAUGAACUGUAUAACAUAAUACCUAUCACACUUUUCGUAAUUCAAUCGUUACACAACAUAUUUUCCUAAUUCACCAGCCCACUAGUAUCCAUGGGGAUCCAUAGGGGUCCCGCUACCCGUUAAUCCUUAACACUUGAAAUCAAAUUCCAGGGCCGCCCCCAUACCCUGUCCGGUAUGGGCGCCAAACCAUAGACCUCAUUACCCCGUCCGGUAUGAGGGUGAAACGGGUCGUCCCCAUACCCCGUCCGGUAUGGGCGCCAAAACACACAAGAUCUCCAUACCCCGUCCGGUAUGGGAGACCACAAUCCCGGUAGGGUUCCCUACGGACCCGGUCCGUCCACCAUCUCCCAGGAUAUCUAGUCGGGCUGAACACAUUAUACAAUUUCCAUUCACAUAAUCUUUCAUUCUCCUUUUCCCUCAGUCAACAUUAUCAAUCACAUACAAACAAGCAAAACGAUAAUUUAUGCCAAACAAACAACAUAUAGCACCAAUAUCCCGGUCAUUCAAUCCAUAAUCAAUAAAACAGUAAAAUAUGCACACGAAACUAUAAAAUGAAAGCAUCUAACCUCAUGCUGUAUUCAAAACUGUAAAACAGGCCAAAUAACAGUUAACCGACAAACACACUAGACUCAGGCUCCAUUAGCGACCUUAAGCAAUUUCACACAUUCGUUGAUUCAUGAAAUACCGUUUUAUCAUUUAUUGGACUUUAAAACCGUGAUAGAAAAUAGGGUGAGGGGUCCUUACUCGUUUCGGGGUCCGAACACGGCUUCACAGUGCGCUUGCAGGCUGUCCCUAAUUUUCCUUGAAUUUUCUUCGGGGAACUGAAACGCACUACUGGUACCUGCACGUGUUCCAAAAAAAUCCCAAAUUAGGCCCAGGGCCCCUUUCGGCCCUAAUCGCAACUCCGGCACGGCGGCUCCGCCAUGCUCCGGCGACGGCGACGGCGCCGCUGCUGGCGGCGGCGAUUCGCCUCGGGUUGGCUGUUUUCGGCCGUUUCUGGUCGAAUUCGGCCACACUCGCAUCGGUCCUUGCGAGAAAACAACCCUAGGGCCCUCGGGGGGCCAAAAAAUCACGGAAAAACGGAGCUUACCGGCGGCGGCGCUCUCGGGUGCGGCGGCUCUCCGGUGAGGUUCGUGUUUUGGUGAUUCGGCUCCGGUCAACCUGUAGAGAAAAGAGUGGUGAUCACGGUGAUAUAAAAAUUGCAUCAAACGGAGGCCGGGAAGGGCCUCAUCGGAGGCAAAAACCGAGAAGGGCGCGGCAGUGCCGCUGGGCUUCGGCCGUGCAUUUCGGCCGUUUGGCCAGGAUUUUGGCUCCGAUUUGGCCACAGGAGGAAUCAGCGUGGAAAAAUGAGUCGAGGGUACGAAAUUUACCUCGAUCGGCGGUCGAAAGUUCCUCCGGUGCGGCGGCGGGUGGCGGCGGCCGGCUUCUGGUUCGUCUUCUCCGGCGAGCGGCAGGCGGCUAGGGUUUGUGGUCUGGUGUGGGGGUUCUAUUUAUAACCCCUUGCCUUUUGAUCUCAGCCGUCCAUUUUGUUUUAAUCUGGGCCGUCCGUUUUUGAUUGAAUCUGGACCGUCCGUGCGUUUAAAUCUGGGCCGUCCGAUCGCGCCCACGCGGAUCGCCAACGUGGCCAUUUUUGGAACGACGUGGUUUUGCCACGUGGCAGGUCCCGGUUGGCCGGGACUGCUGACCGGGCCUGCUGACGUGG